GACGAACGCUGGCGGCGUGCUUAACACAUGCAAGUCGAACGGAAAGGCCCUGCUUUUGUGGGGUGCUCGAGUGGCGAACGGGUGAGUAACAUGUGAGUAACCUGCCCUUGACUUUGGGAUAACUUCAGGAAACUGGGGCUAAUACCGGAUAGGAGCUCCUGCUGCAUGGUGGGGGUUGGAAAGUUUCGGCGGUUGGGGAUGGACUCGCGGCUUAUCAGCUUGUUGGUGGGGUAGUGGCUUACCAAGGCUUUGACGGGUAGCCGGCCUGAGAGGGUGACCGGCAACAUUGGAACUGGGAUACGGCCCAGACUCCUACGGGAGGAAGCAGUGGGGAAUAUUGCACAAUGGGCGGAAGCCUGAUCCAGCAACGCCGCGUGCGGGAUGACGGCCUUCGGGUUGUAAACCGCUUUCGCCUGUGACGAAGCGUGAGUGACGGUAAUGGGUAAAGAAGCACCGGCUAACUACGUG
rnacentral:rRNA from 1 species